rnacentral:rRNA from 1 species
UACGAAGGGGGCUAGCGUUGCUCGGAAUCACUGGGCGUAAAGGGUGCGUAGGCGGGUCUUUAAGUCAGGGGGGAAAUCCUGGAGCUCAACUCCAGAACUGCCUUUGAUACUGAGGAUCUUGAGUUCGGGAGAGGUGAGUGGAACUGCGAGUGUAGAGGUGAAAUUCGUAGAUAUUCGCAAGAACACCAGUGGCGGAGGCGGCUCACUGGCCCGAUACUGACGCUGAGGCACGAAAGCGUGGGGAGCAAACAGG